ACAGCAGUCGCCGCGGUAAUACGAAGGGGGCUAGCGUUGUUCGGAUUUACUGGGCGUAAAGCGCACGUAGGCGGAUCGAUCAGUCAGGGGUGAAAUCCCAGAGCUCAACUCUGGAACUGCCUUUGAUACUGUCGAUCUGGAGUAUGGAAGAGGUGAGUGGAAUUCCGAGUGUAGAGGUGAAAUUCGUAGAUAUUCGGAGGAACACCAGUGGCGAAGGCGGCUCACUGGUCCAUUACUAACGCUGAGGCACGAAAGCGUGGGGAGCAAACAGGAUUAGAUACCCCCGUAGUCCCUGUCUCUUAUAC
rnacentral:rRNA from 1 species